UUCCCAUAGUAAACUCAGUAGGUUUGAAAUCAAUUAAUUGUGUUUGGAGCAACUUUCAAAGUGUACCUGGCAGACGACGGGGAACUGCCUCCUGUGGACAUGAAGGCCAUCGAUGCCCAGCGGGAAGACAGCACCCAGCGCCAUCAUGCAGCCCACGGCAGUCAUGUUGUUAAGUGCAACAGAUGCCAAAUAUCGCGAGAGUAUUGUCUGUCUGUCCAUAAAGGCCCUACCAUGUCAUGAACAGUAACCUAAGCUGCAUGUGUCUGAAUAAGAACUAGACAUCAGUUUAACAGAUGUUGAAGGUGAGGCAGAUGAUUCCCAGCAGGAUUCCCAACCCAGCAAAGACAGACACGGACACAAAGAUCUUCUGGGACAGGUAGCGAAACUCCUCGAUGACCACUGUCUGGUCUGCAGGCGGCCCUGAGCCUAGAAAACACGGAGGAGAGGAUGAGAAGGAUGAAGAGACUACAGCCAUGCCUCAUCCGGAUUUGUGAUGCGUUCUGGCUGCAUCGUAGUUUUGUUGUCAUCCUCCGCCACGUGUGCCAUACCACACCAGGAGUGUCUCAGAAAUGAAGAUUUGCCUGCCUGCUCGCAGAUUUAUUGUCUCUACAAGUAGGCUACUUGAAAGAACAAUCACUUUUUUAUUUAGCUAGUAUCUACCUUCCACUCCAAGCACUCCUGUAACUAAACUCCAUGCCUUCUCUUUUCUGGAGUUGUCCGUAAAAAGGAUCUGUGAUGUCGUUUUAUGUUUUUCCACCUCCAAGAUGAAUCUUUCGUCAUCCGUGGUGUUGUAGAGGAGAUACAAACGAUAUUCAGGGGGUGUUUUGCUAAAUUUACUGGAUACUCUCACUGUUUCACUUCCUGCCCGGCUGCUCGAACACCCGGCAGCUCACGUGAAAAUAGACCUGGUGCGUAUCUUAAGUGAAGCAAAGAGCCACUUCACACACGCUUCUGUUGACGAAUAUCCUACAUUGACUUGAAUAGCCGCCAUUGCUCGCUGGGGCCACGGCGCCUCCGGAACGCAGACGCGCAUGAUGGAAAAUAGGGGUCAGCCUCCAAUGUCCCAUUGAUGUUUGUUGUAAAUCACAUACAGUCACUUGGUGUGUGGCUCCAUUACCAAGUUUCAUUUAACGUUCAGUUCACAACCAGCACUAACAGGUACACAGACACAGUUCAGGACUGAGAAAAACACUUUCACUUCUCGGUUCAUUUCAUUCAUUGACCUCUAAUUUACAUUAUUCAUGAGCCAUUUAUCGACCUUUAUUAAACAUUGGCAUAAUAGAGGUCUGUUCAAUGAUGCACAAGGCUCAGUCAAAUGAGGUUGUACU